rnacentral:tRNA from 1 species
UUGUGGGGGUAGCUCAGAGGUAGAAUGAAUGCUUAGCAUGCAUGAGGCCCUGAGUUCCAUCCUCAGAACAGCAAA